rnacentral:rRNA from 1 species
AAUCAACGCUGGCGGCGUGCCUAACACAUGCAAGUCGAACGAGAAAGUCCCGCAAGGGAUGAGUAAAGUGGCGUACGGGUGAGUAACACGUAGCUAACCUACCCUCAAGUGGGGGAUAACCUGGGGAAACUCGGGCUAAUACCGCAUAACAUCCGGAUGGCAUAGGUCGUCCGGAGCAAAGGUCCGCAAGGAUCGCUAGA